GGGCGGUUAGCUCAGUGGUAGAGCGCUUGCCUUACAAGCAAGAUGUCACUGGUUCGAGACCAGUACUGCCCA
rnacentral:tRNA from 8 species